rnacentral:rRNA from 1 species
AUUGAACGCUGGCGGCAUGCCUUACACAUGCCAGUCGAACGGUAACGGGCCUUCGGGUGCCGACGAGUGGCGAACGGGUGAGUAAUACAUCGGAACGUGCCCGAUCGUGGGAGAUAACGAGGCGAAAGCUUUGCUAAUACCGCAUACGAUCUACGGAUGAAAGCAGGGGACCGCAAGGCCUUGCGCGGACGGAGCGGCCGAUGGCAGAUUAGGUAGUUGGUGGGAUAAAAGCUUACCAAGCCGACGAUCUGUAGCUGGUCUGAGAGGAUGAUCAGCCACACUGGGACUGAGACACGGCCCAGACUCCUACGGGAGGCAGCAGUGGGGAAUUUUGGACAAUGGGCGCAAGCCUGAUCCAGCCAUGCCGCGUGCAGGAUGAAGGCCUUCGGGUUGUAAACUGCUUUUGUACGGAACGAAAAGCCUUCUUUUAAUACAGGAGGGUCAUGACGGUACCGUAAGAAUAAGCACCGGCUAACUACGUG